GCUAAAAUGGUUGAAUCUGUUCAUUAAUAGGAUUUAUUUUCCCUGGUCUCAUAGAUGAAUUUUAAUGAUAUGACACUUCUGUCUAAUUUUCACCUUGUGCAUCAUCUAGAACUCAUGUAACAAUGGAUUUUACGAACACUUUUCGCAAGUACUGAAGUCUUUUGACUUAUCAAUUAUCUUCUAAUCAUUGAGGACAUACUGUUGAUACCUUGGGGUAACUUUUCCUGCUUACUGAACAAGAUGGAUUGGUUGAUGCAAGUCUGGUAUUUGCCGGCGUCUACUUACCACUCGAUGCUCUUCAAAGACGAAUAACUAAUUUCUGGUUCCAGCAAUUACUCGUCAUUCUUGUUAUCCUAUCCUUAAAUUACCAGAAUAAUCAAGGUUAAUAAUUUUAGUUAUCAAAGGGAAAACAAAAUCAAUUGAAUCCUGGUUGAGUAUCUCAUCAAUGACAUAAUCAACCUUCACUGAAACAACCAUAACAUGGGCAAUAUCAUCAUCAAAGUCAACAUUGGCAAUCCAUGUGAUAUUAUUUUAAAAUGAAUUAACUUGCCACUCCAUUGAUUGGAUGCUAUAAAUAUCAUAAUACCACUGGACAGAAUUAAUCUGUUAGUCUUCUCCGGACCAAAUAAAGACCUUGGAAGUUUCUUGAUCAAGCUGAUUCUAAACAUUUUCUGAAGCCAAUCGACUGAUUAAUUGGAACCACCAAAGAUCAAGCCAAGAAGAUUCAAAAGACAAUAGUGAAGUAAAUUAAUCAUAAAUAGAGAGACUGGCUAAAGCUCUGAAAAUCAAUUCCAUGAUGAAGACGAUUGCCGAUGUGAUCAAUUUGUGUCUAGUUGAACAACAACUUUCAAUUAAUAAUCCAUUUUCCAUCCAUUAAUUGAAUGACGACACAAUAAUCAAUCUUUUCACAAUUAGCAGAUUUCUUGCACUUAUGUGAUACAACUGAUUUCGAGUCAAUCAGUCAAUUUUGCUUUUUUCACAUAAGCUGUUUUAUUUCAAUGAGCUGUUCAAUGGGAUGAGUAAAAAUAAAAGUGCAACUGUACAAUUAUUACUGCUAAUUAAAAUGGGUUAAACUCAAUCUUCAUUUAACCUGAUUCAACAAUUAAAAAAAAGAGCAGAUUAUCUUGCAGAAAAUUUAUGAUCAAGGAUAAAUUGACUAAUGUUUACAUGAAACAGUGUCAAGAUAAGCAUAAAAACUGAUGAAUGAUUUAUUAUAAUGGUAAAGCUAAACGAUUAAUAUGAACUGCACUAAACAUGGAAAAAAUACCAAAAAACAUAAUAAUUUCAACUUUAAUUUUUGGUGUAAACCAAACAAAAUGAUGGCCAACAAUAAAUGCAUAUAAACAUUAAUAAAUGAACAUUUAGAUCAAUAAAAUAAACCAAUGUGUAAACUUUAUUGAUCACAAUUUGCGAAAAAUAAUAAUCAAAUUUGGCUCCAAAUUGACAAGUUAUGCUCGGCUUUCAACAUCAUUUAUGCUUUAUGCUUUUUGCCGCUUCUCAAACCUUUAGGCAACAGCUUAUUAGCAAAUUUUAUAUUUAUCAGAGAUGUUAAUCAAAAAUAGUGAGUAUCAAAUUUUAAUUUAAUUUAAUUUGUGUUUUCUUUUUGUUUUAACACUUCCCUUUGCCAUCAACAGUUCACAACAGUUUAACCAAAAACAUCUUUACAUCAUCAACGCUGUCAGAUUCAUCACAUAAUCCUGAAUAAUAAGAUCGGGAAGAGGUGAAAAUUUCUGUCAAUUGAUAGUUAAACUAAAUGAUUUGUGGCCAACAGUUUUCAGUUAAAUUGGCGAUAAAUUAAAAAAUUUUGUCAUUUACCUCUUAAAGAGAUCGAAAGUUUUAUUUUAAAAAUUUGAAUUCCUUCCUUUUGCCAUUAGUUAUUAUUCAAGCUUCGGGUAACAUGGAAUGGUUUGUCUUCAAUAUUGGAUAUUUUGUGUCGUUCAUUGUUACCUUUCCUUUGUCUCUUUGACUACUCAAUUCAAGAAGUACAUUUGGAUAACUCAGCAGAUAACCCUAACCAGAAACCAUUUAUGAUGCUUUUGCAUAAUAAAUGGUUUCUGGUUAUUCCAGAGUAUUUUCAUUGAAUCUGAUCAAUCAAGAUGGAAAUGAUGAAUAAAUUUAUUUGGUGGUGAUACAUUAUUUCAAGACAAACUCAAUUAUUGCAGUUAAUUGGUUUUAUUACCAAACUUUGGUACUUUGAGUUAUUUACCGGGUCAAGCCUUCUGCAGAUUGGAUAGUUAUAUUCCUGAGGAAUCAACCACAUGGAUGGAUUUCAAGUACAAUUAUUUCAGGUUCAUGAGGCUCUGUUCGGCUGAUUUAUCCUGUAUCUCCAUCUCUGGUUACAUUUACUGGUAAAGCUUGUGUCUGUUGGCUUGGCAAACCUCUAGAUCCAUCCAAAGUAUUAAUAAUACAAUUAAAAGAGCCAGACAAGUGUUUGAGUCAAUAAAUAUCAAUUAGGGUCAAUUAUUGGUCUGUUAAUUUGAUUUGCAGUGUUUGCUCAUUAAAAUAAAUAACCAUUUGUGUUGUUUAUUCAAUUAUUGUUUCCUAGAUCAAUCAGUUUCAAGUGUAUUUUGGUCAUUAUAUCAUUGCAUACAUUUGAUGUAAUAAUUGAACAAACAACUUAUAUAAUUCUGGUUAAAUUGAGCGAUUAAAAUUGACCAUCAAUUUCACUGUGAAACCGAACCACGGCUUCAUUGAAACUUUAAUGAUAAUCAUUAUUCAAAUUAAAUACAACCUUUUACUUUUUUCUUUGUCAAGGUUUGGAUUACAAUCAACCAAGAAGACCCUUAAAGUUGAAGUUUCAACCACAAACAGGGUUAUCAUUUUAUUAUCAAAAAUCAUCUUUUGAUUGAAACCAGCAAACACAAGCUUUAAAAAGAUGGACCAAAAAGCUGGAUUCAACAUUCGUUUCAUAUUUAAUUGGAUUGACUGUCAAUUUGAAAGUUUAUAUUUACAACAUUUAAAUUAACUCUUACAAUAGACUAAUGUAGGCUUUUACAAAUUGUAAUAAUUUAACAGUAUAAAUAACAUGUAACUCCAUUUAGCAUGAUAGCAUUGCAGAUCUGUGUAACUAGCAAUCAAAUUGUAACCAAAUAAACUUGCUUUCAUUGUUAA